rnacentral:rRNA from 1 species
AAAUUAAGACCCGUAUGAAUGGUUAAAUGAAUAUUUAACUGUCUCCUUUAACUAAUCAGUGAAACUGAUCUUUCAGUACAAAAGCUGAAAUAAUAACAUAAGACGAGAAGACCCCGUGGAGCUUAAAACUUUUAACAAAAUACUAUAAAGCACAUAUUUAUGCCAUAAAGUUUUUAGUUGGGGCGACUUUGGAGCAAAACCCAACCUCCAAGAAAAGGCACCGCCUACACCAAGGCCCACAAGCCAAACUACAAAGACCCAGUAUCAAAUACUGAUCAACGAACCAAGUUACCCCAGGGAUAACAGCGCCAUCUUCUUCAAGAGUUCAUAUCGACAAGAAGGUUUACGACCUCGAUGUUGGAUCAGGACACCCAAAUGGUGCAGCCGCUAUUAAAGGUUCGUUUGUUCAACGAUUAAUAGU